UUCAGUGAUAGUUGUGGUGCUUUCAUGUUGGACUUCAUGGAGAAAUGGGAUGGUUCACUCAGUCACCCAAAAGAGAAGGUGGAUGUUGAUAGAUUACGUGCAAUUAUUGCUUCAAAUUUGCUUUCAGAUGACAAUAACAAAAUGAAGGAUUUUGUAAAGAACAAAGCACUUUAUCCAUUUGGUCAAGCAUGUUGAUUUCAAGAACCUCACAUACCAGUAUUUGCCCAGUUGGAAGCUAGAGGAAGUGGGAUAAGAGGAUCGUUGAAUUUUCUAAAAAGUGGUACCUGAAAUGAUGUGGGAUAUGGGACAUUUGUAUUGUUGAAUAGUGUCAUUUUUUUUUUCAUGUAUUUUGCACUCUGUUGGUGUUAGCUAUUUUUAAAGUUUUAAAGAAUAGUAGCUUUGCAACUUUUGAUUGUGGAUUAGGUUGGUAUAUUUUUGCAACUAUUGUAUGGCUUAUUAUAUUGGCAUCUACCUUACAUGAAAUCAAAUGAAGUUGCUCUUUUGGGUUUUCAGGAAUUAGUAUUGUAUGGCUUAUUAUAUUAGGGUCUCAAUGAAAUU